CGGCUCCUAGCUCAAUCAGGUUAGAGCAUCGCUCUCAUAAAGCGCAGGUUCUGGGUUCAAAUCCCAGGGAGCCGACCA
rnacentral:tRNA from 1 species